CACCCGCCGCCUGAGCGGCCCCCAGGCUGCGCUGGGGGAGGAUCUCUUCGAAAGGCUCACCCUCGAGCACAACUAGGAGC
rnacentral:pre_miRNA from 1 species